rnacentral:rRNA from 1 species
AUUGAACGCUGGCGGCAUGCCUUACACAUGCAAGUCGAACGGUAACGCGGGGCAACCUGGCGACGAGUGGCGAACGGGUGAGUAACGCAUCGGAACGUGCCCAGUAGUGGGGGAUAGCCCGGCGAAAGCCGGAUUAAUACCGCAUACGACCUACGGGUGAAAGCGGGGGAUCGCAAGACCUCGCGCUAUUUGAGCGGCCGAUGUCAGAUUAGGUAGUUGGUGGGGUAAAGGCCUACCAAGCCGACGAUCUGUAGCUGGUCUGAGAGGACGACCAGCCACACUGGGACUGAGACACGGCCCAGACUCCUACGGGAGGCAGCAGUGGGGAAUUUUGGACAAUGGGCGCAAGCCUGAUCCAGCCAUGCCGCGUGCGGGAAGAAGGCCUUCGGGUUGUAAACCGCUUUUGUCAGGGAAGAAACGCUCUGGGCUAAUACCCCGGGGUAAUGACGGUACCUGAAGAAUAAGCACCGGCUAACUACGUGCCAGCAGCCGCCGCGGUAA